rnacentral:rRNA from 1 species
AUUCCUGUACUUCUGGUUACUGCGAUGGAGGGACGGAGAAGGCUAGGCCAGCUUGGCGUUGGUUGUCCAAGUUUAAGGUGGUAGGCUGAAAUCUUAGGUAAAUCCGGGGUUUCAAGGCCGAGAGCUGAUGACGAGUCGUCUUUUAGAUGACGAAGUGGUUGAUGCCAUGCUUCCAAGAAAAGCUUCUAAGCUUCAGGUAAUCAGGAACCGUACCCCAAACCGACACAGGUGGUCGGGUAGAGAAUACCAAGGCGCUUGAGAGAACUCGGGUGAAGGAACUAGGCAAAAUGGCACCGUAACUUCGGGAGAAGGUGCGCCGGCUAGGGUGAAGGAUUUACUCCGUAAGCUCUGGCUGGUCGAAGAUACCAGGCCGCUGCGACUGUUUAUUAAAAACACAGCAC